rnacentral:rRNA from 1 species
GACGAACGCUGGCGGCGUGCUUAACACAUGCAAGUCGAACGGAAAGGCCCUGCUUUUGUGGGGUGCUCGAGUGGCGAACGGGUGAGUAACACGUGAGUAACCUGCCCUUGACUUUGGGAUAACUUCAGGAAACUGGGGCUAAUACCGGAUAGGAGCUCCUGCUGCAUGGUGGGGGUUGGAAAGUUUCGGCGGUUGGGGAUGGACUCGCGGCUUAUCAGCUUGUUGGUGGGGUAGUGGCUUACCAAGGCUUUGACGGGUAGCCGGCCUGAGAGGGUUACCGGCCACAUUGGGACUGAGAUACGGCCCAGACUCCUACGGGAGGCAGCAGUGGGGAAUAUUGCACAAUGGGCGGAAGCCUGAUGCAGCAACGCCGCGUGCGGGAUGACGGCCUUCGGGUUGUAAACCGCUUUCGCCUGUGACGAAGCGUGAGUGACGGUAAUGGGUAAAGAAGCAACGGCUAACUACGUG